rnacentral:rRNA from 1 species
CAAGGCAGUUAAAAUGCUUUGUAAUUGGAAUGAUAGAAAUUUAAACCCUUUUUAAAGUAUCAAUUGGAGGGCAAGUCUGGUGCCAGCAGCCGCGGUAAUUCCAGCUCCAAUAGCGUAUAUUAAAAUUGUUGCAGUUAAAAAGCUCGUAGUUGAAGUUCUGCUGAAAGUAACCGGUCUGCUUUUAAUAAAAGUGGUAUCUUGGUAUGUAUUUAGCAAUGAUGUCCUUUGAAGUGUUUUUUACUUUAUUGUAAUAAAGCAUAUUCAGGACUUUUACUUUGAGAAAAUUAGAGUGUUUCUAGCAGGCUAACGCUUUGAAUACUGCAGCAUGGAAUAAUAAGAUAGGAUUUUAGUUCUACAUUAUUGGUUUUAAGAGCUAAAUUAAUGAUUGAUAGGGACAGUUGGGGGCAUUUGUAUUUAACUGUCAGAGGUGAAAUUCUUAGAUUUGUUAAAGACAAACUACUGCGAAAGCAUUUGCCAAAGAUGUUUUCAUUAAUCAAGAAC